rnacentral:rRNA from 1 species
UUCCGUAGGUGAACCUGCGGAGGGAUCAUUACCGAGUUUACAACUCCCAAACCCCUGUGAACAUACCAAUUGUUGCCUCGGCGGAUCAGCCCGCUCCCGGUAAAACGGGACGGCCCGCCAGAGGACCCCUAAACUCUGUUUCUAUAUGUAACUUCUGAGUAAAACCAUAAAUAAAUCAAAACUUUCAACAACGGAUCUCUUGGUUCUGGCAUCGAUGAAGAACGCAGCAAAAUGCGAUAAGUAAUGUGAAUUGCAGAAUUCAGUGAAUCAUCGAAUCUUUGAACGCACAUUGCGCCCGCCAGUAUUCUGGCGGGCAUGCCUGUUCGAGCGUCAUUUCAACCCUCAAGCCCCCGGGUUUGGUGUUGGGGAUCGGCGAGCCCUUGCGGCAAGCCGGCCCCGAAAUCUAGUGGCGGUCUCGCUGCAGCUUCCAUUGCGUAGUAGUAAAACCCUCGCAACUGGUACGCGGCGCGGCCAAGCCGUUAAACCCCCAACUUCUGAAUGUUGACCUCGGAUCAGGUAGGAAUACCCGCUGAACUUAAGCAUAUCAAUAA